UACGUAGGGGGCAAGCGUUGUCCGGAUUUAUUGGGCGUAAAGAGCGUGUAGGCGGCCACACAGGUCUGCUGUCGAAAACUCGAGGCUCAACCUCGAGCUGUCGGUGGAAACCGUGUGGCUAGAGUCCGGAAGAGGAGAGUGGAAUUCCCGGUGUAGCGGUGAAAUGCGCAGAUAUCGGGAAGAACACCCGUGGCGAAGGCGGCUACUCGUCGGG
rnacentral:rRNA from 1 species